AAACAACAAGAGGUCAGAGAGAGAGCUCUUUCUCUCCACCGCGUGAGAACAUGGCAAGAAGGUGGCCGUCUGCAGCUUGCAAGAGGUCCCUCACUAGACAGCCAAUCAGCCAGCCUCUUGAUCUUGGAACUUCCAGCCUCCAGAACUGUGGAAAAUGAAUGUCUGUUGUUUAAGCCACCCCAUGUAUGGUGUUUUGUUGAGGCAGCCUGAACUAGGAGAGCUCCUCUUCCUAGUACCAGAGACUCUUGCCCAAGAGUUCUGAUGUGCACUGAGGUGCCUGCCUGGGACAAGAAUUUAAUUAUGGGAGUGUGGUGGCUUAAUUCUCCCUGAACCUUGAAGGAUUACACACCAGCAUCUCAUGUUUAUUCCCUGUAAUUAAAAUGGUAGCAGCAUGUGAGCCUUAAGGCAAGGGAAAUGAAGCGUUGUUAGACAACAUCUCCUCCUCCAAUGAGAGUUAAGUAUCAACACAGGUACAUCCAAACCACUUUUGUUUUCUAUUAACAAGUUCUGAAUAAUAGUGUUUAGUUUUCUCCCAAACUUCAGAGUAUAAACAGCAGCUAGCAACUGAACGUGAGUCCAGUUCUUACAAACAUUUCACGAGUACCACACUGAUUCCAUAGUGGAUGAAAUGAAUGUUAAGUUUUCCUUGAAUGCCCGGUAAACCCUGACUGCUUGUUUACAUCUAAACGAGGCAAUAAAAUGACUGAUUUGGAGGUGACCUGCUAACUAGUGAGAGGGUAAGUUGUGAGUCGUACAUAAGUGCCCUUCAAAUGGUGUCUUUAUUCUUAGUUGACUGAGAAGCAGGCAGCUUGUGUAUUUUAUUUUUUUUAAAUGUUUUUUGUCACACCCCGCAGCAUGCCAGCUUUUAGUUGUGGCAUGCAGGAUCUUGGUUCUUUGAUCAGGGGUCGAACCUGUUCACCGUAUAGUGGAAGUGCAGAGUCCUAACCUCUGGGUGUCAGAAGUCCCUCAUUUUUAAAAAGAGCAUCCCUAGUUCAUGUUUUGUUCUUUCUUCUGUCUUUUCCGGUGGUGUGUUAGGGAGGAGACUGUGGACACCUGCUUAUACUUUCUCUGGUUACUCUGUGUCAGUUGUCAGGGCGGAUGGGUGGAGACCUUUCAUGUCCACGAACCUUCCAUAAAGCCUCUGUCUCUGGUCACAUCUUGCUUGUCUGCAGAGCAAGCCUGAGGCUUUCAGGGCUGGGUUCCGAGUCAUCCACGCUCAGCUCGGCUUCCCUGGCAACCCACUUCUGUUUACUCCUCAUCUUUCAGAGAUGUAUUGGCAAUCUCUUAUCUACGGCUGAACUUCCAUUCCCUUCAUAAACUUUACAGAUUUGUCAGUAAGCCUAUUACCAGCAGGAUGGUGGGUUUCAAAAGUCUAUGUCCUGGGACAAAAAAGUAAGUGAACUGAGAAGAAAGUCAUCAGGAUAAUCCAGUGAUGUGAGAUUACAAACCAGUUUCACCACUUCCAUGCUCCAUGAAAACAAAGCCUGAACAAUUGCAAACUUUUGUGUCCUUUAGAACAUCUUCUCACUCUGCCUCUGCCCUGCACUCCACACCCUCUGUGGGGUUCCAGGGAGUGAAGCCAUUGUCAUGACAGUUGAAGCUGUAUUGUGACCCGCAGAGCAUUCCCAAAAUGUGACAUCGUUUGGCAAACCCCCAAUCAGCAUGUAUAGGAGAUAGGGCACCAUCAUUUGACUUUGAUGCUAAGGGCCUUGGGUAAAACUGAUCUCUCAUCACCAGGAAGACCAUGAUCAUCUCUGUGGGCAGCCAAAAGCAACAGUCACAACAAAAACAGCCAGAUGGGUAAAUAAAAGAACAACGGAUAAUUGCUGAGUGCUGACUGGAUGUCAGGUUGGACUGAAGCUGGCAAACCACAGUACUCUGGACAAAGCAGUGUUCCCUUGUUGUGAUAGAUAGCACGGAACCAGAAACACUUCCAGUAUGAGGGUCUCUGGGGACGACGCAAGGGACCAGGAAACUGAAGUGGGAUGGUUCUUCACCCAGAAAGCAUGACAGCAGAUGCUAAGCUGGUUCUUCAAAAUGAGAAUAGAGGCUUGUGCUUCUCAGCAAAAUCCAGGCAGAAGAGAAGGUAUCACUCUUUGGCUGUCAGGAAAGCACCAGGCAGGAGAGCCUGUCUUCAGAGAUGACACCUAGGUGCUGAGGACUGCUGUACACAUAUGGAGUCAUAUGACAGUUUCUGCUUUCCCAGAGUUUCCAUCUAGUUAAGAACAUGGAACCAAUAAAGGUAGGGUAUAAAGUACAUUUUAAAGUGAAAAACGAGUUAUGGAUUUAAAAAAA
ensembl:lncRNA